rnacentral:piRNA from 1 species
UAGUUAGCAAUAGAAUUCUCCAAAUUGCU